rnacentral:lncRNA from 1 species
CUAUACCCAUGCUCUUAAGCAAAACCCCUUCUGUCAGUCGACUCAUUUUCUUUCAUUUUCCCCACUUCAGUCUCACUGCCUUGAGGUCUCCAGGUUGGCUGCAGCAAUUGGAUUCCCUCAUAGGGCCCCCUACAGACUCUAACUGGCCCUUGUUCCUAAGUCAAAAGCCAAGUACACCAUUACUAGGUGACCAUUAGAAAUGCAUCACCUCGGCAGGGCGCAGUGGCUCACAUCUGAAAUCCCUGCACUUUGGGAGGCCAAGGCAGGAGGAUCUCUUGAAUCCAGGAGUUUGAGACCCAACCGCCUGCAAUGUGACAAAAUUGUGUAGAAUUACACACGCACACACGCAUGUAACACUGGCAAAAUUCGAAUGUCUAUAUGUUGUAUCCAUGUCAUUUCCUGGUUGUGAUAUUGUACUUUAGCUAUUCAACAUGCUACCAUUGAGGAAAACUGAGUCAAGGGUAUACAGGAUCUCUCUGUAUCAUUACAACUACGUGAGAAUCUCUACUUACCUCCAAACAAAAAGUUUUUUAAAGAUACCAUCAAGUCAUAUCAGUUUAACCCAGGAAAGUAGUCCCUAUGGAAUAUGGAUGAAAUUAAGUAU